rnacentral:lncRNA from 1 species
CUCGUCUUUAAAUUGCAUGAACUAUUUCAAGUGCCACUGAAUGUUUAACAACCAACAAAUCAAUAUAUCUUGGUGCUGUAAGGGAAUUUGUAUAUGUUGUUUGGUGUGUUAAGUAUGUAAUUUAUUAGUCUUUAUUCAAUUCGGAUGUUCGUGUAUCAUAUAUAUACACUGAUAAUGCCAGUAGUAAAAGACCACCCAAACAAGAUAUCAACAGAAAAACAGCUAAAACUCCAG